rnacentral:misc_RNA from 1 species
CCAAACUAGCUUUGGCUCUGCCACUGCCAGUACCCUUGUCUAUGCGUACCGUAUGUUGUUCCCUCGGCGGGGCCUCUCCGCCGCUGGGCAUCUUCAUAAACUCUUAUGAUUGCAGUUAGCAGCAGUAUACCUGUCUGAUUGUGGGCUUUUGAAACUAUCA